rnacentral:rRNA from 1 species
UGGGGAAUCUUGCACAAUGGGGGAAACCCUGAUGCAGCGACGCCGCGUGAACGAUGAAGCCCUUCGGGGUGUAAAGUUCUUUCGACAGGAACGAUAAUGACGGUACCUGGAGAAGAAGCUGCGGCUAACUACGUGCCAGCAGCCGCGGUAAUACGUAGGCAGCGAGCGUUGUUCGGAGUUACUGGGCGUAAAGAGUGCGUAGGCGGCGAGCCAAGUUUGGUGUGAAAUCUCCCGGCUUAACCGGGAGGGUGCGCCGAAAACUGGUUGGCUGGAGUAUGGGAGAGGAAAGCAGAAUUCCUGGUGUAGCGGUGAAAUGCGUAGAUAUCAGGAGGAACACCUGCGGUGUAGACAGCUUUCUGGACCAAAACUGACGCUGAGGCACGAAAGCGUGGGUAGCAAACA